UACGUAGGCAGCGAGCGUUGUUCGGAAUUACUGGGCGUAAAGAGUGUGUAGGCGGUGUUCCCAGUCUGUUGUGAAAUCUCCCGGCUUAACUGGGAGGGUGCAGCGGAAACUAGAAUGCUAGAGGGUGGGAGAGGUAAGCGGAAUUCCUGGUGUAGCGGUGAAAUGCGUAGAUAUCAGGAGGAACACCUGUGGUGUAGACAGCGUACUGGACCACUUCUGACGCUGAGACACGAAAGCGUGGGUAGCAAACAGG
rnacentral:rRNA from 1 species